rnacentral:rRNA from 1 species
UACGUAGGGGGCAAGCGUUGUCCGGAUUUAUUGGGCGUAAAGAGCGUGUAGGCGGCCAGAUAGGUCUGCUGUGAAAACUCGAGGCUCAACCUCGAGAUGUCGGCGGAAACCAUUUGGCUAGAGUCCGGAAGAGGAAAGUGGAAUUCCUGGUGUAGCGGUGAAAUGCGCAGAUAUCAGGAAGAACACCCGUGGCGAAGGCGGCUUUCUGGGACGGUACUGACGCUGAGACGCGAAAAGCGUGGGGAGCGAACAGG